rnacentral:lncRNA from 1 species
AGACAUUGUCCAUUGGGCAUCUCCAUGGACUGUCUGCAGGCAACAUAGUGGUAUCACAGAGGUUGGGAAUGGUUGCCAUCAGCCACCAGGCAGUUAUCACGUAUACAAUUACAGCCACAACUGUUCCUACCACCUGCAAUACCAAGGUAGUUUAGCUUCAAAGUUUCCAGUUCAACUGUUCGCUUUUAUGUAGAGUGGUAUUAUAAUAAUAAUACCAUUAUUAGUCUUGAAACAGUGAAAGAAUCAAAACUGACCUGUGCCAUGAACAUUGAUCUAGGUGGAAUCUUCAUGUAGUGGCCCAGCUUGAAGUCGGCCAGAAAGGUUAGAGCUUGAGUCAUGCUGAUGUACCCAUAAACCUUGAAGCACAUGUUGGCAACAGGACGGCCUGGGUACAUAUAUCCCAUAACAUAUUCUGUUACAAUGUUCAAACCUGGUGUCUGUUCACCGGCAACAAAAGAUUGUUCAUUUAAAUUCCAAAUAGCUACAUUAUUAGAUUUUAUUCCAUUUAACUCAACUUCAGCUUAUAAAUUAAAGUUCAAUUUCCUACCUGGUUUGUUGUAGCAGUGAUGAUGCCGAUUGGAAGGGUGAAGAAAAAGGCAAUGGCACAAGCAAGCAAGACACCCCACCAUGGCAACUGAAGUACGUCAUUGUAAUACUCACAUGCAAAUAUGAUAGUGGCAAUGUUCACAACGUGGAUCACAAAAAACCACCAAUUGGGCACUGACUUGUACUUCUUCAUAAGCCAU